rnacentral:rRNA from 1 species
UACGGAGGGUGCAAGCGUUGAUCGGAAUCAUUGGGCGUAAAGCGCGUGUAGGCGGCCAUCUAAGUCUGAUGUGAAAGACCGGGGCUUAACCCCGGAAGUGCAUUGGAUACUGGAUGGCUAGAGGACGAGAGAGGGAAGUGGAAUUCCUGGUGUAGGGGUGAAGUCCGUAGAUAUCAGGAGGAACAUCGGAGGCGAAGGCGGCUUCCUGGCUCGUUUCUGACGCUCAGACGCGAAAGCGUGGGUAGCAAACAGG